UAAGAGAGCACUGUCUGAGACCAGUGACAUUCUUUAUCGAGCUGAGUCGACGCGCGUUUCCUAUUAUAAUAUUUACCACUGCAUCCAAUACAAGUAAUACAUUCAUGGGAAUACCGCUAGGGCAACGAGCAGAAUAUGAAAUACGGGUCCUUGUAAAAACGACUUGAUACAACUUUUCGAGUUAAAACUUACUAUACUUUCCUUAGAAAUAAUUAAAUUAAUAGUUAAGCGCGUGCAGGAAGGUAUAUAAGCCGGGAUCUUUGUGGAUUUAUAUCUAUUGGAAGUAAUCUUCAGGAGAAAGUGUUCAUGUUUGGCUCCUGGUGAUUUAAAGGCAAGGGUCCCACAAGAUGAAGACCAAGUACUUCAUACUGUUCGUGAUGAUGAUAUACAACCAUCAAGUGCUCUCGCAUAUUGUGACUACGUUCCAUAGUGACCUGUCACUUUACCAGUGCAUCACUUCACUCCAGAACCUGAUUGGCGCAAUAUGCCCUAAUUACUACUCGAAGGAACAGUACAACAGCAGAGAGAGGCUUUCCAAAGCCUGGUCAUUAGAAGACAUGAAAACGUGCUGCAUUCAAUCCUGCUCCAUCGCCGAACUUCUGUCCAUAUGUUAAUUAGCCAAUGCUCUCGCCUCAUGAAUACAUACUUAGUAAUUAUUAUUUAGUAUA